UUUCCUGAUGAUGUAUUGGUAAUAGGAAGUGUUGUCAGAAGCGAUAACUGACAUGUCUACACCUGCCUGACC